rnacentral:lncRNA from 1 species
CAUGAAGUUGGAUGAUUUCAGCCACAUCAAUUGGAUGCCUCGAAGUGCAGGAAAGGAAGGGACGUAAUCAUAUUCACAUGACUACUUUUUAGUUUAACAUUGGCCAUUGUUAGCAGGCAGUGCACCGAAAUGACAUCUCCUUGAAAUAUGUUCAAUUUAUUUUUCCACAAGACUUCAUCAAGAUUGCUUUAUACCUCUCCAUUUGCAAAAGUCUUCGUGAAGAUGAAAAAAGCUCUGCAGUGAAAUCUCCCGCCACGGUAGUGAAGGCAGCCCAAAAUCGUUGAAUGAGAAUCAAAAUUUGCUGCAAUACAAUCUACUUAAAUGUUCAUCACAUAUGCAGGUGCCAAGGACCAACAAGUCUGAAGGUAUUCUGAGUCAAUAAUCAUUAUUUGCAUUGGAAUUGGUCAAAAUUCUUUUUUUCAACGUGAAAAUAUGUACGUAGAGCAAGAAUUUCACAUAGCUUAAAUGAUGCAGGACUGAUAUUAUUUUUAUCUUUUCAAAUUCUUUCAGUAUCUUUACAGUUUCAUGGAAAAGUUUCAACACUGAAGUAAAUUUUAAGGAGAGAUGGCAAUACCAAAUUUUUGAACUCCCCCCCCCCAAAAAAAAAAAUUAUUGGUUUUUUUCUAAUCAAAUUCUACUGUAUUCAAGUGUAUUUUAAGAUCAAGUUUUCUAAAAUCAGACCGUUAUUGAAUAAGUUACGUACA